rnacentral:lncRNA from 1 species
UAAUGUUUUGUUUUUGAAUGCUUGCAAGCAUGUUUCCGCCUUUUAAUUGUUAAAUGCAUGCUAUAGAUGUUAUUCAAAUGAACAUGUUUUCACAAAAUAAUCCUUCACAAAUGGCACACCUACUCACAUACUCAGCAAUUUCUCUUUUCAUACCCGGCCAAUAAUAAAAUGGUCGAAUGGUAUGAUACAUUUGGCACCUCCUGGAUGCAUUGCAUAUGCCGAAAUAUGCACUUCAUCAAGGAUUUCUUUCUUUAACUUAGCAUUAUUCGGCACAUACAUUCUAUUCUCUUGCAUAAGCAUGCCAUCAGUUUCUCGAAUUCUGAAAUCCUUCUUGUUGCCUCAAUUUCUUGCCUUAUUUAUUUCUUGGGUUUCUUCAUCAACCAUCUGAGCCUCAAGCACUCGAUCAAUUAAUAUUGGUUUGACCUAGAAAUUAGCUAAUAAAGCUUCCACUUUAUCUUCCAAUCAUAAUUUCACUCCAGUGGACCUCAAAUCUGUAAGAAAAGGAACAUGACAAGCAUAAAUGGCAUUAAGCCUAACUGGAGUCUUCCUACUAAGUGCAUCUGCUACCACAUUCGCAUGACCAGGGUGAUACUGUUGGAAGUAUGCCCACAAAGCCACUCAUUUGAUGUAAUAGCUUUU